rnacentral:misc_RNA from 1 species
UCCGGUUUGUCACCGGCAGUCUCCCUAGAGUUCCCGCCAUUACGCGCUGGCAACUAGGGACAAGGGUUGCGCUCGUUGCGGGACUUAACCCAACAUCUCACGACACGAGCUGACGACAGCCAUGCACCACCUGUACACCACCAAAAGAAGCCCUAUCUCUAGAGCGGCACGGUGUAUGUCAAACCCAGGUAAGGUUCUUCGCGUUGCAUCGAAUUAAUCCGCAUGCUCCACCGCUUGUGCGGGCCCCCGUCAAUUCAUUUGAGUUUUAACCUUGCGGCCGUACUCCCCAGGCGGUCGACUUAUCGCGUUAGCUUUGCGCCACCGAUCCGCUACGCGGACCAACGGCUAGCACACAUCGUUUACGGCGUGGACUAC